AAUUCUCCCCCCCAAAACACUUCUUAUUUUCACAAAGAUAAGAGUGGUUAGCGGACGAGAGAACGUCCAUAAAAUCCUAAAUUCUCUACCGCCAUUUUCGCCGCGUUCCCUCUGCCGUUUUCGCCACCGGUGCGCCAUUACAAUUGCCAUGGCCGUUGCAGUAGAGAGCUUCUGGAUUGAGCCACCUAUUUUAUCAAUGCGUUUUCAUAUCUGUCUCUCUAUAUUGUCGUUCCUGUCACUGUUGCCACUGUAGUUUCCGCAGCCGUUGCCGCCACAGUUUCAGCCGUCGAUGCCACUGUAGUUGUCGUGGUACAACACGUUUUCAGAUCUGUUCACUCCUGAGCUUCUUCUUCAAUGCCGCUUCCUCUCACUCCAAUUUCUCCUUUGAACUGUCGAUGGAGUAUUGGAAAUGAGGCAGGGAAGACAUGAUAAUUGAUCAUUGAAGCUAUUUUGUUUCACGCCAGUAGAUUUUAAGUUUUGGCAAAAUAAUUCUGUCUAUCUCUCUCUCUCUCUCUCUAAUUUGAUGGAAGCAGCUAGGGUUUCUCUUACUUGCAUCUCAAUUUAGUAGCAUCGGCAUCCAAUAAUCUUGCUUGAAAUUCGUUACGGAGGGAUCUCCUGGGAUUGAAGAUAGUGGCAAGUCUGAGGCACAUUUGACUUCGGCUGCUGCUUUUGUGGGGGGUGGAAUUUAGGAUGCUUGUGAUGAUGCUUGCAGCAUUUGUCUUGAAGCCUUCUGUGAUAGUGAUCCUUCCACCAUAUGACCCUAAUUUUUUUUAUCACGUGUUCAUUUCUUGGAUGACUAAAGUGAGAUAGAAUCAAAACUAUACAAUAAUAAAUUGAUAGAUUUGAAACCACUGCAGAUUUGCUAGCAGAGGUGUGUAGAAGAGAGAUAGAAGCAAACAUUAAACCUGAUCCAGACAUCGAUGUUUAUAUGAAAGCCAGAGCAGCUGGAGGCCACAAAGCGAAUAUUAUAACAAGUUUUGGGACUUGAGAUCUGUGCAGAUACUUUUGUGGGAAAUGCAAUGUUAAGAGGUAUCUCUGGUGGACAAAGAAAACGUGUUACAAUAGAGGCCACAAUUGGUGAAGGGAAACAUGCAACUUUACUCCGUGGAUCAGCAACGUAGUCAGGCUCUUGAAGCUCAUGCUGCAUCCUUUGCUCAAUUUAAGGUUUUUGGAAAUGAUAAUCCUUCUGUUUUGAUAUCUUUUGCCUCAAAGACACUUAAUGCUAGUCAAAUUAUAUUGAAGCUACAUGUUAUUGAGCUGGAUGCACAGUCAGGUCUACAUAUUUUGGCCUCUCACACCUGUCUCCUAUGUUUUUAUUCUAUGGCAGCAUGGGUGUUACACAAACGUGUCUUGUAGUACCAAGUUACUUGUCCUCUCCUGAUUUUUCAUGUAAUUACAUGAUAUUGGAAUAUUUUUAUUUUGAGACUUUUAUGUAAUUAGAUGAUAUUGAAAUAUUAUAGUUGUUAUUUUAUUUUACUUUUUAAAGAAAAACAAUAAUAGUUAUGUAGAACAAUACCAUAUGUAAUUAUGUUUGGAACUAUUGACAUUGAGAAUUUUUUUA